GACGAACGCUGGCGGCGUGCUUAACACAUGCAAGUCGAACGAUGAAGAAAAGAAUCGAAGCUUCGGCAGAAAUUCAUUUCGGAUUAGUGGCAGACGGGUGAGUAACGCGUGAGCAACCUACCUCUUACAAAGGGAUAGCCUCGGGAAACCGGGAUUAAUACCAUAUAACAUUGUGACGAAGCAUUUCGAUGCAAUCAAAGCUACGGCGGUAAGAGAUGGGCUCGCGUCCCAUUAACCGGAUGGUGAGGUAACGGCUCACCAUAGUGACGAUGGGUAACCGGCCUGAGAGGGUGAACGGUCACACUGGAACUGAGACACGGUCCAGACUCCUACGGGAGGCAGCAGUGGGGAAUAUUGCACAAUGGAGGGAACUCUGAUGCAGCGACGCCGCGUGAGUGAUGAAGGAAUUCGUUUCGUAAAACUCUGUUCUAUGGGAAGAAAAGGACUGUACCAUAGGAGAAGGCUCCGGCUAAAUACGUG
rnacentral:rRNA from 1 species